rnacentral:lncRNA from 1 species
CCUGGCACAUAUGCACUCGCCCAACACUGUUGGGUCAGGCCCAUAGUUCGUGCAUGGGCGUGAAAUUGCAAAGGGUUAAAAACCAACCCUCUGUUCUGCACCGUCCCACUACUUCAGGCCGUUUCCGCCAUGGGCGCUGCAUGCAUUGCUCGAAUCUCAUGGCGGGUGCACAUGGCUUAAAGGCGUGGUCGUGGCAGAAGCCGCAACGUCGUGGAUGGGAUUGAUGGGGCGGUUACCUAUUUGCCCGUGAUGGUGGUCAACGAGAUAGGCAGAGAUGGGCGGCGACCCUUGUAGUGUAGGCGAGCCAGCCCCCCGCACCCUCCCUAUAAAAG